rnacentral:rRNA from 1 species
GAGUUUGAUCCUGGCUCAGAAUCAACGCUGGCGGCGUGCCUAACACAUGCAAGUCGAACGAGAAAGUGGAGCAAUCCAUGAGUAAAGUGGCGACCGGGUGAGUAACACGUGACUAACCUACCCUCGAGUGGGGAAUAACGCCGGGAAACCGGCGCUAAUACCGCAUAACAUCGCAAGAUCAAAGCAGCAAUGCGCUUGAGGAGGGGGUCGCGGCCGAUUAGUUAGUUGGUAGGGUAAUGGCCUACCAAGACGAAGAUCGGUAGCCGGCCUGAGAGGGCGCACGGCCACACUGGAACUGAAACACGGUCCAGACUCCUACGGGAGGCAGCAGUGGGGAAUUUUGCGCAAUGGGGGAAACCCUGACGCAGCAACGCCGCGUGGAGGAUGAAGUCCCUUGGGACGUAAACUCCUUUCGACCGGGACGAUAAUGACGGUACCGGUGGAAGAAGCCCCGGCUAACUUCGUGCCAGCCGCCGCGGUAAU